UGGCGGCAGUAGCGCGGUGGUCCCACCUGACCCCAUGCCGAACUCAGAAGUGAAACGCCGUAGCGCCGAUGGUAGUGUGGGGUCUCCCCAUGCGAGAGUAGG
rnacentral:rRNA from 1 species